GAUGAAGAACGCAGCGAAAUGCGAUACGUAAUGUGAAUUGCAGAAUUCAGUGAAUCAUCGAGUCUUUGAACGCACAUUGCGCCCCCUGGUAUUACGGGGGGCAUGCCUGUCCGAGCGUCAUUGCUGCCCUCAAGCACGGCUUGUGUGUUGGGCCUCCGUCCUCCUCCCGGGGGACGGGCCCGAAAGGCAGCGGCGGCACCGAGUCCGGUCCUCGAGCGUAUGGGGCUUUGUCACCCGCUCUGUAGGCCCGGCCGGCGCCAGCCGACAACCAAUCAUCCUUUUUUCAGGUUGACCUCGGAUCAGGUAGGGAUACCCGCUGAACUUAAGCAUAUCAAUAAGCGGAGGA
rnacentral:misc_RNA from 1 species